GAAGAGAUUUAGAUUUUGCCAGACCCCAGUUUCCGUGUUUACCCUCUUUGGGUAAACAAACAAAUAUACAAGUAUUAAGUUUUCUUUAUCUUUUGUUUUUGUAUUUUAAAGAUUGCUUCUUGCAUUUGAUCAUGCCAAAAAAAAAAUAUUAAUCAGGUGUUUAGCUUGGAAAGGAAGUGAAUUGCUUUAGAGGAAGAAGCAAUUUAUUGCAUGUUUGUGUACCUUUUUGAGAAAAUUUAAGUUAAAGCAAGUGUGCCCUUUUUGGGUAGAAUUCUUGGAAUACUGGUAUAUUUGAUUGAUAUUUGGAGAGUUUGAUAAUUCUAUCGAAGAAAUGGUGUAAAUUUAGCUAGUCUUUGGUGGUGGUGAAAUGUCAGUAGUAGUUUCUCCACCUCCAAAUAUUGCACCAUUUCCUGUUCCACCAAUUGCCUUAAGUCCACCUUCUCAGCUUCCUUCUCCUGUCCCAGAAUCUCAACCUAAUGCGACAGCACCACCUGUUUCUUCUCUUCCUCCAACCUUACCCCCGCAAUCUGCUCCUCCCCCGGUGUCACCACCACAAUCGCCUCCUCCAAGUAACGUGACUUCGCCUCCUCCAUCAGCCCCACAAUCGCCUCCUCCAAGUAACGUAAUAUCGCCUCCUCCAAUGGCUUCCCCACCCACAGCAUCCGCUUCUCCACCCUUACCUUCCUCGCCUCCACCUAGCCCACCUGCUAGUUCACCGCCACCUAAAUCUUCUCCUCCGCCUGCUAGUUCACCGCCACCUCAAUCUUCUCCUCCCCCUGUUAGUUCUCCUCCACCUCCAUCUAGCCCACCAGUUAGUGCAUCACCACCUCCGAAAGUUGAGCCUCCACCUGUCUCACCUCCCCCACAACCAACUCCUCCAACAAGUUCACCUCCGCCGCCUCCAAAAUUUGAUCCUCCUCCUACCGCAUCUCCACCACAACCAACCAAUCCUCCAAGUUCACCUUCACCGCCUCCAAAAAUUGAUCCUCCACCUGUAUCACCUCCGCCACCUGCACAGAAUCCGGAUCCUGAACCUCCGAAAGGUUCAUCCCCGGCCCCACCCUCACCCGUGAAUUCACCUCCACCCCCCACGUCUGUGCCACCACAAGGUUCACCUCCUACCCCACCCUCUGACCCUCCUAAAGAUUCACCCCCUUCACCACUUCCACCUGCGAAUUCACCUCCAUCACCAUCAUUUCCGCCACCACGAGAUUCACCUCCUACCCCGUCCUCGGAACCUUCUAGAAAUACACCUCCUUCACCACCCGUUCCUUCAGGUGGGAGUGGAACCCCUACCAAUGGAUCGAGUGGUAAUGCAGCAGACAGCUCAAACAGUUCGAGUAGUAACGGCAUAGGGACUGGAGGUACAGUUGCCAUUGGCAUCAUUGUUGCAGUUUUAUUGCUUAGUGUUAUUGGAGUAGUUGGUUGGUGCGUAUGGAAGCGGAAGAAAAAGGCUUUUCAUGGCAAUGGCGGAAAUGUCAUGCCAACCUCUAUGGGCUCCACCCCAAAAUCUGAUUCUGUCUUAUUGAGGAUACAGGAAUCAACACCUGUGACCGGUAAUGGAACUGGCAAUAAUUUCCUAAAUUCUCCUGGAGGAUCUGGUGGAUUGGGAAAUUCAAAGAUAUGGUUUACUUAUGAAGAACUAGUUAAGGCUACUAAUGACUUCUCGGCUGAGAAUAUAUUGGGGGCGGGUGGAUUUGGUUCUGUAUACAAAGGACGACUACCAGAUGGGAGGGAUGUAGCAGUAAAGCAACUAGAUAUCGGUGGGCGCCAGGGGGACCGGGAGUUCAGAGCUGAAGUUGAAAUCAUUAGUCGAGUACACCAUCGCCAUUUGGUCUCCCUUGUAGGUUAUUGCAUUUCUGAGAACAGAAGGCUCCUUGUUUAUGAAUAUGUCCCAAAUAACACCCUUUACUUCCAUCUUCAUGCAGAAGGAAGGCCUGUUUUGGAUUGGGCAACACGGGUUAAGAUUGCUGUUGGUGGAGCUCGUGGAAUAGCUUAUCUGCAUGAAGAUUGCCAUCCUCGCAUUAUCCACAGAGACAUUAAGUCAUCAAACAUUCUUUUGGAUAUUAACUUCGAUGCUCGGGUUUCUGAUUUUGGAUUAGCUAAAUUAGCUCAGGAUGCAAAAACUCAUGUUACAACACGUGUUGUGGGAACAUUUGGAUACAUGGCUCCUGAAUAUGCAUCAAGUGGCAAGCUGACCGAAAAAUCCGACGUAUAUUCUUUUGGGGUUGUGCUUCUGGAGCUGAUUACUGGACGGAAGCCGGUUGAUACAUCUCAGCCUAUAGGGGAUGAGAGUCUAGUUGAGUGGGCUCGGCCUUUGCUUACGCAUGCACUUGAGAAAUUGGAAUUCGAUCAGUUGACAGAUCCACGCCUCGAGAGGAAUUAUGCUAUCCCUGAGAUGUUUCAACUGAUCGAGGCAGCUGCAGCUUGUGUGCGCCACUCAGCUGCAAAGAGACCGGGCAUGGGACAGAUUAUGAGAGCUUUUGAUAACAUGUCUACGUCUGAUCUGACGAAUGGGAUGAAAGUUGGUGAAAGUAGAAUCUAUAACUCUGCAGAACAAUCUGCAGAAAUAAGAUUGUUUCGAAGGAUGGCAUUUGGUAGUCCGGAUUUUAGUUCUGAUUUUUUUAGUCAAGGUACACAGCAUAGCGGAGAGUCGGCUGAAGAUAGGGUAUAGCACACAGCUAAACGCCUUGCUACAGCAAGUGUAUAUGUAUCUGUUCAUAGAUCAAAGGCUCCUACGUUGAGAGGUACAUGUUUGCCUCUCCGAGGUGAUUUUGGUCGCAAUUUUUCCUGCAAUAUUUACUUUCUCAAUGCUUCAAACAUCAAUAUACCCUUUUAAAAAGAGAAGCAACCUAUUCCUUGACAAGAAACGACUUCUAUUCAUAACCUUCUUCUUCAUUACCUUCACCCUUUCUCUCCUCU